rnacentral:rRNA from 1 species
GAUGGUAGUGUAUUGGACUACCAUGGCUUUAACGGGUAACGGAGGAUUAGGGUUUGAUUCCGGAGAGGGGGCCUGAGAGAUGGUCACCACAUCCAAGGAAGGCAGCAGGCGCGUAAAUUACCCAAUUUCGACACGAAGAGGUAGUGACAAUAAAUAACAAUGCCGGGCCUUGUUAGGUCUGGCAAUUGGAAUGAGAACAAUUUAAAUCCAUUAUCGAGGAUCAAUUGGAGGGCAAGUCUGGUGCCAGCAGCCGCGGUAAUA